UAUUUUGACUCAAUGAAUAUAAAAUAAAAUAAAUUCAUCAAUAUAUUUACUCGAAAAGAUUAAUAUAUUGCGGAUAGACUCUAACCUAAACCUUAACACACAUGACACGUCGAACAUAUUUUUAGCUGAACUACGUUUUCAGAACGUGGAAAAAGGAUUUAUUAUUCAUCAUCUAGGUUAUUGCAAUAUUCACACAUGAUAAAUUUACGAUCACGUCUUUUUCCAUGAUGUGAUGUCAUUGUUUCAAAUUUCCAUUUUCGAUGAGAAAUUGUCAACUGUAAUCUUUGGGUGUCAAUUCAUAUAUUUUUGGUCGGUCUCUUGUAAUUGGAUAAGUCCAUCAAACGAUAAGCAUCAGAAGCUGGAUUGGUAGAUUGAAGGGAAUCUAUUUAUGCCUAAUGGCUUUUUGUUUGCUUGGUGUAAUACUCUUAUCUUCUAAAGUUUUUUUCUCAUCUCCUUUAUUUUCCUUUUGAAGUAAUUACUUUCUUGAAAUUUCAUUAAAGAAAUUUGAGGUUCAUCCAUUUUUGGAGGAAUAGAAUAAUGCCACACUACCAUUGGAUUGGAUACUCUUUCUUUAUUCCUUCUUUCUUACUUCACAUUAUCACAAGAACGAAUGAUUUUAGCUCCUCUUCCUAUCUUUACCCCUUUAUUUCUUAAACAAGCAGAAGAACAUAUUACAAGAUAAGUCAGAAUUUGUUUCUUACAUUCCUCUUCCAGAUGGAUCCCAUGAAUGAACCUAACCAGUUGAUAGGGAUCUAAUAAUGACCUUGAUAUUUUGAACUUACUAUACACACUAUAAUAUAUAAUUCUAGCAAGGCUUGAUAUUAGAGAACUUUCUCCUAUGAGAAUUCUGACCUCCUUUCUACUGAUAUUUUCAGGAAUAAGAUCAGGAUCAUUGAAUCAGGUGCAUUAAAGCCAAUCAUCACCUUCUUACAAUCAGAUACUACAACUCUACAAGAGUAUGCUGCUGCAUCUUUGCUCACUCUUUCCGCAUCUCAAACCAGCAAGCCUAUCAUCGGUUCGGUGCUUAUGGUGCAAUUCCUCACCUUGUCAAACUCAUUAAGCAUGGAAGCCCACAGUCCAAGGCUGAUGCAGUAAUGGCCCUCUCCAACCUCUCAACAGUCACUAAUACAUUAAACAUGAUAUCAGAGGCAAAACCGUGUGUUCAGAUGAAUCAAGAAAGGCUUUGACUUCCUUGAGAAUGGGACGCUGCAAGGUCGGGAACACGCAGUAGGUGCGUUAUUGACAUUGUGUCAAAGCGGCAUGAGUAAAUAUAGAGAACCAAUUCCCAGUGAAGGCGUAAUACCGAGCUUAUUAGAGCUCACAGUACAAGGAACAUAGAAAUCUCGAACAAAGGCUAAAAGACUUCUCUGUUUGUUAAGAGACUCAAGGAGUCCCAAGAUCAGAGUUUCAGCCUGACACAUUAAUUAGAAAACUUAGGGUCAGACAUAAUCUCUCACACUGAUGGAGACGAUCAAUGCGGUGAAGAGAAGAAGAUGCUCGCUGAAAUGGUUAAAGUGACCAUGCAGAAGAGCUUGAGGCAUUUGCAAGAACAUGCAUCUCCAGUUCCAAAAAACCGAGCUUGUCUUAAUCGUGAACCGUGCUUCCUAUUGUCUCUUCCAAGUAAAAGAUCUCUUCCUCUCUUGCUCAUUGUCACGUGACAUAUAUACAACGAAAUGAUCCCCUAUCUAUAAAACAAGAUAUUGUUCCAUAAAUAGUAAUACAAUAUAGAUAUAUGAUUAUGCAUAUAAGUAGAAAGAGUUGGGGCUCAUGUUCCUCUUUGUAAAGCAGUCUUGUAUGUGUAUAUAAUCAAAGUUGAAAUGUGUUUUAUACCUUAGAGAUUGUCCGGAUUUUUAGUCUUGACUAUCAAGAUAUAUAUCGAAGUGUUGCUACGGGUAAAAUCAAGAAAUGACAAGUCUGAAGAUGUUCCAAGACAUAUUGAAACAUUGCCAUGUUUUAAGUUUAAGUGAGUGUAGAGAAUGAGAGUGUGGUCCAACUUUACAUAUCUUUCGGUGAAUACAUGUAUUUUUCAAAAGUGGUGAUAAAAUUAGUACUAUAUAGCUAAACAUUUAAUUUC